rnacentral:misc_RNA from 1 species
AAAAAAAAAAAAAAAAAAAAAAAAGAGAGCUUGUGAUGUGGAUGAUCAUAUCAAAGGUAUUAACAAAGGGAUACAUGUAAAAGGCUCUUUUUUUAAUGGGAAAAUGCAGAUGAAUCAUGUUUCCAGUAGUGAAUGUUGGGGGCAGUUGAAAUAUUAAUGUUUGUUCACAAACUCUUUCUGUAAUAUUCCUUCGCUUUAACCCACUGUAAACCAUUCUUCGGUUGGUUUAUUUUAAGCUAUUGUCAUAGUGAAGUCAAAUGUCAGGAUUACGGGAG